GGAGAGAUGGCCGAGUGCUUGAUGGCUCGGGUCUUGAGAACUCGGUAUAGUUUUUUGCAAACAUCGAGGGUUCGAAUCCCUCUUUAUCCU